GGACUACCAGGGUUUCUAAUCCUGUUUGCUCCCCACGCUUUCGCGUCUCAGCGUCAGUUGGUGUCCAGGAAGCCGCCUUCGCCACUGGUGUUCCUCCUGAUAUCUACGAAUUUCACCUCUACACCAGGAAUUCCACUUCCCUCUCCACCACUCAAGACUGGCAGUUUCGAAUGCAGUUCCCAGGUUGAGCCUGGGGAUUUCACAUCCGACACACCAAUCCGCCUACACGCGCUUUACGCCCAGUAAUUCCGAGCAACGUUUGCACCCUCUGUCUUACCGCGGCUGCUGGCAC
rnacentral:rRNA from 1 species